AUGACGUCAAGUCCUCACUGGCCCUUAUGUCCAGGGCUACACACGUGCUACAAUGGGCGGUACAAAGGGUCGCAAACCCGUAAGGGGGAGCAAAUCCACUUAAAAGCCGUCCUCAGUUCGGAUUGAGGUCUGCAACUCGACCUCAUGAAGCUGGAAUCGCUAGUAAUCGCGGAUCAGCAUGCCGCGGUGAAUACGUUCCCGGGCCUU
rnacentral:rRNA from 1 species